UUCUAGUUGUUGAUUCACUAUAUCUAUAAGCUAUUCAGCCACACUUGUAAAUUCAUUCUAUUCAAUAAAAUUCUUCUUCUCAUUUUCAAUAUGGUAUCAUAGCGUUCUUUUUCUUGGUCCCGAAAUUCUGUUACAGUUUUCUUUUCUCUGUUUCGAAACCCUUUUUCUUCUGAAAACCCUAAAUCUUGCUCAAAGUCUCAUCAAUGGCGGCCAAUCAGAAUGUUGAUCCGAUGCAGAAUCCUUCGAGCCCUUAUUUCAUGCAUCCUAAUGAAAAUCCAGCUCUAGUUUUAGUGUCACCAGUGCUCACAAGCCCUAACUACCAUUCUUGGUCUCAGGCUAUGAAGAUGGCUUUGGUUUCUAAGAAUAAACUAAAGUUUGUAGAUGGAUCUUUAAAGAUGCUACCAGUUACUAAUCCACUAUACACAGCCUGGGAAAGGUGUAAUGCCUUUUUUCUAUCUUGGAUAAUUCACUCAUUAUCUCAAUCCAUCACUCAAAGUGUUCUUUGGAUUGAUAAAGCAGCAGAUGUCUGGAAGGAUUUAAAGGAGAGAUUUUCACAAGAGGAUAUUUUACGUAUCUCAGAUCUGCAAGAAGAGAUUUACGCCCUUAAACAAGGUGAGAUAUCUGUGAUUGACUAUCAUACAG
rnacentral:misc_RNA from 1 species